GAGAGGAGAGUGGCUAUGGAGAAAUAUGCUGAGGGAAACAUGAAGAAAGAAAACAUGACGGCCUUAGUGAAAGAAAUGAUAUUGGCUAUUUCACAGAAGAGGAGGGAAGAAUUCAAGAAGUUUUUCGGGAUUUAGAGUUAGCUAAAAUUUAAGAUGGAUUUUUUGAUGUGGCAAUUGUAGACUGGUAGAAUUUAUCUGCUGUGAAUUUGACCAGGAUGUAUCGGACUGCCUUGAUCAACUGUCC